GCUUGUCUCAAAGAUUAAGCCAUGCAUGUCUAAGUACAAGCCUCAGUAAGGUGAAACCGCGAAUGGCUCAUUAUAUAAGUUAUCGUUUAUUUGAUAGUACUUUCCUACUUGGAUAACCGUGGUAAUUCUAGAGCUAAUACAUGCUAAAAAUCCCGACUUCGGAAGGGAUGUAUUUAUUAGAUUAAAAACCAAUGCCCUUCGGGGCUCACUGGUGAUUCAUGAUAACUUCACGGAUCGCACGGCCUUGCGCCGGCGAUGGUUCAUUCAAAUUUCUUCCCUAUCAACUUUCGAUGUUUGGGUCUUGGCCAAACAUGGUUGCAACGGGUAACGGAGGGUUAGGGCUCGACCCCGGAGAAGGAGCCUGAGAAACGGCUACUACAUCCAAGGAAGGCAGCAGG
rnacentral:rRNA from 1 species